AUGGCUCCCAGGCCUCUCCCCACGGCCGUGGACCCGGCAGCAACAACCCACUGUCCAGCGUUCCUCCGGUUUGUACCGCCCAGGGGAGAGCAUACCUCCUACAGUGUCACAAGCUUAAUUCUCGGCGCCUGCGCACGGCGCCUCGACGCAACGCACCGCCUUACGCUGCCGCGUGGGGCAGGACUUCCUCCUGGCGCCCCGGAAACCGGAAGGAGCUCUUUUCUGCAGGAAGGAGAAGGGAGUUGCCACCGACAUCGGAUACCGGAAAGCAGGCUCGUUGUGUUGCGUAAGCUCUUUCGACCUCGUCUGGAAAACGAGCUUAAUAGCUCACGGAAAAGUCGUGAGGAUAGAUACGGAAGGGAGAAAUCCACACCCAGAAUGAAGUUUAAGAAAAAACUCAAGUAUAUGAGCACUUUGAAAGCAGAACACCGUUGUUUCCAUGAUUCGAUCAUUCAGAAAUUAUGA
rnacentral:lncRNA from 1 species